GGGAAGUAGAGGUACAGGGAAUUUCCGGUGGAGCGGUGAAAUGCGUAGAUAUCGGAAGGAACACCCAAUAUGGCGAAGGCACUGUACUGGGCUUUACCUGACGCUAAGAGACGAAAGCUAAAGGAGUGAUUAGGAUUAGAUACCCUAGUAAUUUUAGCCGUAAACGAUGGAAACUCACUGCCGCGCCGGUAUUCGGAGCGGUGGUCAAGCUAACGCGUGAAGUUUCCCGCCUGGGGAUUACGCAUGCAAAUGUGAAACUCAAAGGAAUUGACGGGGACCCGCACAAGCGGUGGAGUACGUGGUUUAAUUCGAUGCAACGCGAAAAACCUUACCAAGGUUUGAAAUCAUUCUAAAACUCUUUGAAAGAAGAGCCUCCUUCGGGAUAGAAUGACAGGUGGUGCAUGGCUGUCGUCAGCUCGUGUUGUGAAAUGUCGAGUUAAGUCUUGUAACGAGCGCAACCCAUGUCUUUUGUUGCUGUUUACAGUGCUUAAAAGAGACUGCCGCUCUACAGCGGAGGAAGGUGUGGAUGAUGUCAAGUCAGCAUGCCCCUUAUAUCUUGGGCUACACACGUACUACAAUGGUAGGGACAAUGAGUCGCAAACCUGCGAAGGCUAGCCAAUCUCAAAAACCCUAUCUCAGUUCAGAUUGUACUCUGCAACUCGAGUGCAUGAAGGUGGAAUCGCUAGUAAUCGCUGGUCAGCAUACAGCGGUGAAUACGUUCCCGGGUCUUGUACACACUGCCCGUCACACCAUGGAAGUCGAUCCUUCCCUAAGUCGUUACUCGAACCUUUUAGGACGAGGAUGCCGAAGGCAGGGUUGGUGACUAGGGUGAAGUCGUAACAAGGUAGCCGUA
rnacentral:rRNA from 1 species